GACGAACGCUGGCGGCGUGCUUAACACAUGCAAGUCGAACGGAUAGGCCCUGCUUUUGCCGGGAGUUAGCGUGGCGCACGGGUGAGUAACCUGUGAGUCUCCCGCCUUUGACUUUGGGAUAACUUCAGAAAACUGGGGAUACCACCGGCUAGGUGCUCCUGCUGCAUGGUGGGGGUCGGAACGUUCCGGAGGGUGUGGAUCGACUUCCGGCUUAUUAGCUUGUGGGUGGGGUAGUGGCUUACCCAGCCUUUGAUGGAUAGCCGGCCUGGGAGGGUGAACGGCCACAUGGGGACUGAGGGACGGCCCAGACGCCUACGUGAGGCAGCAGUGGGAAAUAUUGCACAAUGGUCGGAAGCCUGAUGCAGCAGCGCUGCGAGCGGGAUGACGGCCUUCGUGUUGUAAACCGCUUUCGGCUAUUACGAUGCUGUAUUGACGUUAAUGAGUAAAUAAGCACCGGCUAACUACGUG
rnacentral:rRNA from 1 species